GACGAACGCUGGCGGCGCGCUUAACACAUGCAAGUCGAACGGAAAGGCCCUGCUUUUGUGGGGUGCUCGAGUGGCGAACGGGUGAGUAACACGUGAGUAACCUGCCCUUGACUUUGGGAUAACUUCAGGAAACUGGGGCUAAUACCGGAUAGGAGCCCCUGCUGCAUGGUGGGGGUUGGAAAGUUUCGGCGGUUGGGGAUGGACUCGCGGCUUAUCAGCUUGUUGGUGGGGUAGUGGCUUACCAAGGCUUUGACGGGUAGCCGGCCUGAGAGGGUGACCGGCCACAUUGGGACUGAGAUACGGCCCAGACUCCUACGGGAGGCAGCAGUGGGGAAUAUUGCACAAUGGGCGGAAGCCUGAUGCAGCAACGCCGCGUGCGGGAUGACGGCCUUCGGGUUGUAAACCGCUUUCGCCUGUGACGAAGCGUGAGUGACGGUAAUGGGUAAAGAAGCACCGGCUAACUACGUG
rnacentral:rRNA from 1 species